UUUACAUAUGUACUUUAUUUUAUUUUCCCUUUUUCUAAAUUUAUGUUUUGAUUUUGAGUUAAAGUUAGAAUGAAUUGUUUGAAAAAUCUUAAUGUCUUCCAUUAUUUAUAUAUUUGUCAGUUAAUAAUAAUAUUUCUAAUAUUUAAACAGAUAAUUUUAAUCGUAUGCUUGAAUUAAAUUAAACUUUUCUCACGGUUCCAACAAAAAAGUAGCUGGUCAUCGUAUUUAUGAAGACCAAAAUAUAUAAACUGACCCAUUCACUGACCCACGCAACGCAACCAUAUCAUUGUUAGUCACCAACUUUCGAUGUCAUAUGUCAACGGUUAAAAUUAAAAAUUUAAAAUGUGUAAUAAAAUUUCACUUCACACUUUCACACUUUAAAAGAAUAACAAUGUUUCAAAAAAAUGCAAAGACUUCAAAGGAAUACAAUUAUUUCAAAAUAAAAUGAGGCUCAACUUUCCAUUACUGGCAGCACGAAUUUCGCCUCGCGGUUUUUUUUAUUCGAUAGAUAGAUACAUAGAAAGGAAUUAUGCCGGGUGAUGAAGUUGGAAGACGUAAAACUAUUUAUAUGGUAUUUUGAUAGAAUUAAGUAAAUUAUAGUUUUUAGAAAGUUCCUCUUUUAACAAAUUGAUAUAUUUUUGUUUUACAAUUUUUAUCUUGCGAGUUCUGACAACACUUUGUUUUCCUGGUUACUGCUUCUACCAGACUCAACCAGGGAAAUACAAUGCCUUCUACAAACCUGGAACAAUUGCGUUUUUAAGGGGUGUGUGGUUAGCGUUGUCUCAUGUUAUUAUAAUUUUGUGUUUUGAGAGCAAAUUGAAAAUCGAUAGGUGACUGUGACUGGAGAUUAAUUCGAAUAUCUAGCUA